CAGAUAUUAGUUUAUAUAAAAUUUUAAUUUUGGAGAUUAAAGAUAGAAAAAUUUCUAUAUCUGA
rnacentral:tRNA from 1 species